rnacentral:rRNA from 1 species
CCUACGGGGGGCUGCAGUGAGGAAUAUUGGUCAAUGGACGAGAGUCUGAACCAGCCAAGUAGCAUGAAGGAUGACUGCCCUAUGGGUUGUAAACUUCUUUUAUAUGGGAAUAAAAUGUUCCACGUGUGGGAUUUUGUAUGUACCAUAUGAAUAAGGAUCGGCUAACUCCGUGCCAGCAGCCGCGGUAAUACGGAGGAUCCGAGCGUUAUCCGGAUUUAUUGGGUUUAAAGGGAGCGUAGGUGGAUUGUUAAGUCAGUUGUGAAAGUUUGCGGCUCAACCGUAAAAUUGCAGUUGAAACUGGCAGUCUUGAGUACAGUAGAGGUGGGCGGAAUUCGUGGUGUAGCGGUGAAAUGCUUAGAUAUCACGAAGAACUCCGAUUGCGAAGGCAGUUCACUGGACUGCAACUGACACUGAGGCUCGAAAGUGUGGGUAUCAAACAGGAUUAGAUACCCUAGUAGUC